UUCAUUACUUUCAAACUAUGUGUUUCCUUAGAGCUGGUUCCUCUCUGUUUUGGGUACUUUUUCUUUGGAAACUGAAUAUAUAUAUAUAUAUAUAUAUAUGUCUUCACAUUUAAAAUAAUGAAAGUUUUUAAUAAUGUUAAUUCAACUUUGCAUGUAGCUUUAGUUUUGUGUGGUUUUUAACACUCAUAAAAAUCACUUUUAUUUUAUCUGACAUGUUAGUGUGUAUUUUUUCUUUGAUUAAGUAAUUUUAAAAUUUUAAAGCUAAGUUGAGGGAUAGUAUUUUAUUAUUAAUUUCUAGUAAGUGUGGACAGUGAAUUUGGUCCACACUAACCCAAAGAUUUAUUGGUACUGGAUUUUUUUUCACCUUUGGCUGAGUAUUAGGUCAAUUUUUAAAUUUUUUAUUAAAAGAAGGUAAAAAUCUGUUUAUAGGACUUAAAUAUUAAGUUAACCUUAAAAAUUCAUUCCAGUAUACAUUAGGUACAGACAAAUACUGUUUGAGUCCAUUUAUAUGACGUACCUAGAAUAGUCAAAUUCACAGAGUCAGAAAGUACAGUUAGAUGCCAGGAGCCGAGGGUAGGGAAAUGGGGAGUUAAUGCUUAAUGGGGACAGUUUCAGCUUAAGAAGGUGAAAAAGUCAGGAGCUGGAUGGUGGUGAGAGCUGCACAACAAUGUGAAUGUUUGGUGCCACUGAGCUGUACAGUUAAGUAUGUUUAAAAUAGCAUAUUUUACGUUAUGUGUCUUUUACCACAAAAAAAAUUUUUUUUAGUCCUGUAAUUCAGUUAUCCUCAUUUGUAGGUGAUGAAAUGAGGUUCUGAGGUCAUAGCACUGAUCAGUGGUAGAGGCAGGAUUUACACGGAAUGAUGUGGAUUCUAAGCUUCCUACAUUCCCCCUUGUUACUCCCCUCCUGGUGGAAGAGCUUCAAAGAGUUGCUCCCCACCCCCUAUAUUCCCCAAAUUAGGGAACAAGAUGUGCCAGCUUCCCAGAUACCUCCAGUCCCCGAGGGGAGAUUUGUGUAUUUCUUAUGUCUUCUCAGCCACCAGGACAACCACCUGGAGCCCCACCAUCACAGCUGACCUCUGGGUCCCGGAGGACAAAAGAAGUCCAGAGUCUUGGCCCCUGAGUACAGAAGCUAUAAUUGGAUUGGCACUGGCCACUGCUGUGCUCAAAAUCGCAAUUUUGGGACUGACUGUGUACCUCAGGUGGACAAGAAGCAAAGGUCUGCAGACUAAGGCCAGAACCCCAGCCAGACCUCAUGGCCUUGCAGCUUCCAGCUCUAGUGCUGGGAACGCUUCUGCUACCGUGUGAACAAGCCCCAGCUAGCCUAUUGGAGACGGACAGACGUGUGGACAGAGGCCCCAGUCAUCCCACCAAUUCCACCUGAGGCACCGGAUGCGUGAGAGAGGCCAUUCCAGACCGUUCAGCUCCAGCCAAGGCAGUUCAAAUGAAUCAGAAAAUUCUAAGAAAUAAUGUCUGUGGUUUCAAGCCACUAGAUUUUGAGGUGGUUUGUUAUACAAUAAAAGCUAAUUGAU